rnacentral:rRNA from 1 species
CAAUAGCGUAUAUUAAAGUUGUUGCGGUUAAAAAGCUCGUAGUUGGAUUUCUGCCGAGGACGACCGGUCCGCCCUCCGGGUGAGUAUCUGGUUUGGCCUGGGCAUCUUCUUGGAGAACGUAGCUGCACUUGACUGUGUGGUGCGGUGUCCAGGACUUUUACUUUGAGGAAAUUAGAGUGUUUCAAGCAGGCACACGCCUUGAAUACAUUAGCAUGGAAUAAUAAGAUAGGACCUCGGUUCUAUUUUGUUGGUUUCUAGAGCUGAGGUAAUGAUUAAUAGGGAUAGUUGGGGGCAUUCGUAUUUAACUGUCAGAGGUGGAAUUCUUGGAUUUGUUAAAGACGGACUACUGCGAAAGCAUUUGCCAAGGAUGUUUUCAUUGA